ACCAUGCAGUCGAACGGUAACAGGUCUUUCGGGAUGCUGACGAGUGGCGAACGGGUGAGUAAUACAUCGGAACGUGCCUAGUAGUGGGGGAUAACUACUCGAAAGAGUGGCUAAUACCGCAUGAGAUCUAUGGAUGAAAGCAGGGGACCUUCGGGCCUUGCGCUACUAGAGCGGCCGAUGGCAGAUUAGGUAGUUGGUGGGACAAAAGCUUACCAAGCCUACGAUCUGUAGCUGGUCUGAGAGGACGAUCAGCCACACUGGGACUGAGACACGGCCCAGACUCCUACGGGAGGCAGCAGUGGGGAAUUUUGGACAAUGGGCGCAAGCCUGAUCCAGCAAUGCCGCGUGCAGGAUGAAGGCCUUCGGGUUGUAAACUGCUUUUGUACGGAACGAAAAGUCUUGGGUUAAUACCCUGGGAUCAUGACGGUACCGUAAGAUAAGCACCGGCUAACUACGUGCCAGCAGCCGCGG
rnacentral:rRNA from 1 species